rnacentral:rRNA from 1 species
GACGAAGGGGGCUAGCGUUGUUCGGAAUUACUGGGCGUAAAGCGCGUGUAGGCGGUUGUCCAAGUCGGGUGUGAAAGCCUUGAGCUCAACUCAAGAAAUGCACUCGAUACUGGGCGACUAGAGUGCCGGAGAGGAUAGUGGAAUUCCCAGUGUAGUGGUGAAAUACGUAGAGAUUGGGAAGAACACCAGUGGCGAAGGCGGCUAUCUGGGACG